rnacentral:piRNA from 1 species
CAGCCAAGGAGAACCCGUGCAGGAAAUUCCA